UACGUAGGGCGCAAGCGUUGUCCGGAAUUAUUGGGCGUAAAGAGCGUGUAGGCGGCCAGAUAAGUCCGCUGUGAAAUCUCGAGGCUCAACUUCGAGCUGUCGGUGGAAACUGUCUGGCUAGAGUCCGGAAGAGGAGAAUGGAAUUCCUGGUGUAGCGGUGAAAUGCGCAGAUAUCAGGAAGAACACCCGUGGCGAAGGCGGUUCUCUGGGACGGUACUGGCGCUGAGACGCGAAAGCGUGGGGAGCGAACAGG
rnacentral:rRNA from 1 species